CCCCUCAAGUGCUUCCAAGACCUGUUUACUCAAAUGAAUUUUACUCUCAUCUUGCAUGUAUGUAAAAAAGUUACUUACAACAUUUAUAAGUCUUAGUUGUCGAGGAUAAUGAGAUGUUCUAAACUAUCAAGACUUUUAAAGUUCUCCCAAGUUCUAAUAACAACAUGAAACCGUCUCAACAGCUUCCACUUGAGUUCCAUUUUUCGAUAAAUCGGUUGCAAACAAUGAUAACUAAUCCACCUACUUGGAUUCCAAUGUUCAGUGUUGUUCAUAGGUUGCUACAAGAAUUCACAAGGAGAAACAUUCCCUGAUAUAUUUCCACCUAACUUAUCACUAAGACUUCAGAGGAACAGCAUUACAAGCUUAUCAACAAUCUUGUAUCCUAUCUUCAAACAGAAGCUCAAAUUUUCAAAAGCACUCCAACAUAUUUUCACAGAAAGUAUGAAGUUUACAACAUUACCUUCUUCAUCCGGGUACGGGCU